rnacentral:rRNA from 1 species
GAUGAACGCUAGCGAUAGGCUUAACACAUGCAAGUCGAGGGGCAGCAUGGUCUUAGCUUGCUAAGACUGAUGGCGACCGGCGCACGGGUGCGUAACGCGUAUGCAACUUGCCUCACAGAGGGGGAUAACCCGUCGAAAGACGGACUAAUACCGCGUACACUUGGGAUAGGGCAUCCUGACCCAAGGAAAUGAAAUUCGCUGUGAGAUAGGCAUGCGUCCCAUUAGCUAGUUGGUGAGGUAACGGCUCACCAAGGCGACGAUGGGUAGGGGAACUGAGAGGUUGAACCCCCACACUGGUACUGAGACACGGACCAGACGCCUACGGGAGGCAGCAGUGAGGAAUAGUGGUCAAUGGGCGAGAGCCUGAACCAGCCAAGUCGCGUGAAGGAUGACUGUCUUAUGGAUUGUAAACUUCUUUUAUACGGGAAUAACAAGAGUCACGUGUGGCUCCCUGCAUGUACCGUAUGAAUAAGCAUCGGCUAACUCCGUG